CUUGUCUGUAUAGGAGUUAUAUCAUGUUCCUGACAACACUCUCCGCUGCCCUUCAGAAACUUAAUAAAUAUGUGACCAAGGACACCACAGAACCAUCCAAUCUGUUGGGGAGAAAUCCAGAUGGAUUGAACCAACAAGAAGGAUUCUAAGGAGAACUAGAGCACGUGGGAGGAACAGCACGUAAGCUCCAUAAGGAAAGGGGUUUCUCUGCUCUGUGCACGACUGCCUGGCACCCAGCAAGGACUUGAAACACGGGGAGUGCGGACUGAAAUGUGGCCUCCCGGCGUGAGCAUUCUCCCUGCAGCUUGCAGCUACCAGUGACCGCCCAGCACGACGGCCACCACCAGCAAGUGUGAAAGAAUUCUGUGAGCUGGAUGGAGCAGAUGUGAUUCUUCUGGAAGAGUAUGGAAGGUGUCUCUGCAUGGCCCCAGGUUUCCCCUGACCGCAGGUGUGGUCUGUGCAGGGCAACAUCAUGGCAGGAAGAUGCCCACCUCGCAUCCUUCCUGCACUGACUAUCCCAUCCAACAAUUUCUGCUGCUUCCCCAGCUUUUCCAUCACCUUAACGACCAGGGGAAAGCCCAGAGGGUGAAUAAAGGGGAAGGGUUCAAACUCCCUCAGGUCGACAAACCAUGAAACUGGGCAGUUGUCUGAAACGAAACAUCCACAGAGGGCACUUCAUAGUUGACAAUUGAUUGGAAGCCCAGGUUUAAAGGGCUUAAUGCCCAUCCUUAGUAUGUGGAGGGUGGGUUCUGGUACCUACAAGAAGAUACAGAUCUUUGCCAAGAUGCCACAAGGCAGGGCUGAGAAGAAUCUGACAAUUCUCCCUCAUACUUCUUUGUCUACAGCUGGGGAAGCUCUUGCUUCAAGAAAGACACAGACUGUUUCUGAUUAGUUCAUUCAUUUAUUCUUUUCU